GGCCAAACCUCUACUUCAACACCUUCUGGCUUGGCCAGACCAAGGCUGAAAGCUUUCGUAAAAGUUGGGCUCUGAGAUGGGCUGGCUGGCUAACCUCCCCUCCCACUGCUCUGACCGCAAUUUGCGUUUCAAGUCUACAGCCCCCAAAUUUGCAGCCUUCACUUCCUCAUCCUGACCUCCUGCUUGCACUCCCGGACCUUCUGACUGUUUUUACAGCUCUGUCUGGAGAGAGCUUCUGAAGGAGUCUCACAUGGACACCUUGGGUCUACAGUCCCAGGUCUUGUCAUUGUCCUUUGGACCAAAUGGUGGUAAGAAGUACCUCAUAACUAAUGCACUUUGGAGCCUGUUGGGAUGGAUGAGGCUAGCAUUGGAUGAAGUCACUAUUUGAUAGUGAGCUACGGACCAGAAAUGGAAAUUGGAGACGUAAUUUACCAUCGGAAAGAAGACUUCCUUCUUUUGGAAGCUGGACGGCUGGACCAGGAAACUCUGAAGACUUGAAACACUGAAACAAAAUCCCUCAGCAAAGAAAGGGCAGGCGGGUUAAUUCCAGGUUGUGCGGACCCUGAACGCCAAAUAGCAUGUGAAUAUAACUAAGCUGCGCAACUUUACGGGUUCAGUAUAAAUUCAAAGUCUGUUCCUUUCAAGCAAACUCCAGAAAACAUCGUGAAAUAGUCGUUCACGGGUCCCUGC
rnacentral:lncRNA from 1 species